CAUUUAGAGAUGCUUUUAUUGAGGAGUAAUAAUCUUUCACAUUAUUAAUGAUAAAAGACUAAUACAGGCCUGUGUGAUGAGUCAAGUCUGGAUGUUUUUUAGACAGUAACAGAAAUCUGUUUUUUCUUUCCAAGUUUCUGCCCUCAACAUAGGGUCAGACUGAUGCUGAUGCGGCGUUAAACAACACAUCACAUCCCAGUCAUGAGGGUUAAUUCAACAGGGUUUGCACACUUGACUGUUCACCUGCAUUAUUGGAUUUACCGAUCCAACCGGCGACGACACAAUGUGGACCACUCCCCCCAAACUAUAUAGAAAAUGUAUCUAUCUGUUGACUUUUCCCAAAGGUAACUUCCAAGCUGAAUGACAAUAUUUUUCCAAUUUCUUUUUGCAUCUCUUUGUCAAGUUUAUGCUACUACAGUAUUUAUGUAUUAUGUACAUAUUAAUGUUUAAAUGUGUUUUUAUGUAUGUACCAAACCUGCUCCCUGGCAAUACAUCUUUUUCUGAUUUCUGAUUUGUCUUUUCUUUUUAAAAUGCAUUUCUGUGUAUAUUCAGUUUUCCUAAUGCAUAAAUUGUCCUGCUUAAAUAAAGUUUGCUAUUUUCCUGGUA